rnacentral:rRNA from 1 species
AUUGAACGCUGGCGGCAGGCUUAACACAUGCAAGUCGAGCGGUAACAGAGAGUAGUUUACUAUUCUGCUGACGAGCGGCGGACGGGUGAGUAAUGCCUAGGAAUCUGCCUAGUAGUGGGGGAUAACUUGCCGAAAGGUAAGCUAAUACCGCAUACGUCCUACGGGAGAAAGGAGGGGACCUUCGGGCCGUUUCGUCUAUUAGAUGAGCCUAGGUCGGAUUAGUUAGUUGGUGAGGUAAUGGCUCACCAAGACCGCGAUCCGUAACUGGUCUGAGAGGAUGAUCAGUCACACUGGAACUGAGACACGGUCC